UACGAAGGGAGCUAGCGUUGUUCGGAAUUACUGGGCGUAAAGGGCGCGUAGGCGGCUUGGCAAGUGGAAGGUGAAAUCCCUCGGCUUAACCGAGGAACUGCCCUCCAAACUGCUUUGCUUGAGGCCGGGAGAGGCGAGUGGAAUUCCCAGUGUAGCGGUGAAAUGCGUAGAUAUUGGGAGGAACACCAGUGGCGAAGGCGGCUCGCUGGACCGGUUCUGACGCUGAGGCGCGAAAGCGUGGGGAGCAAACGGG
rnacentral:rRNA from 1 species